rnacentral:lncRNA from 1 species
GUUAACCCCCUUUGAUCUUACUUUAGGAUUCAUUUGAUUGAUAAGUGUAAAAUCAAUUGAAAAUUUUGUGAAUAAAUGAAUCCUAAUUUCUUUCGUGUCAAUUGAACCCUCAAACCAAGUUGUUUGCAAAUUUUGCCUUUUGCUUAUUUCUAAGUAGGGAGCAUUAUUGAAUAAAUUUGGUUUUGGAAUCUAAAGUUGGAGAGAGUAAAGAAAAAAAGAGUUGAUUAGAAACUUGGAAAAGUGAGUUUUUAUGAGAGGGUAAAAAUAUGAAAAGAAACAACAAAAAGAAAUCACCCUUGAAACCAUAGAGCAAAGAAAAAAGAAAAGAAAGAAAAAUAAAAAAUAAAAUAAAAAAAAAACAAAGAAAAGGCUCAUGGUUGUGUAGAUAAAUAUAAGAAAAGGAAAAAGAUGGGGAUCAA